rnacentral:tRNA from 2 species
UAUUGUUAUUUUGGCAGAUUAGUGCAUUAAAUUUAGAAUUUAAUUAUGUAAAUUUUUACAAAUAAUAC